CGACGUGCGUCUGUGGAGGAGCG
rnacentral:piRNA from 1 species